AAAAAUAUUGUGGCAGAUACGAUUGUUUGUCGAAAAAUAUUUCAAAAUGUAACAAAACAAAAAAGCGUAAAACCGACUAAAUUGGGGUUUUCUGUUUACCACCGCUAACUAGAAGAUGAUUAUCGCUGUAUAUUAUUCGUGUACAUACUUUAUUUAAGAUAUCCAGGCGAGUUCCCAUGAUAUUUUCAAUGCGUUAUGAGAUAUUCAAUGCGUUUUUAUAUGUAUGUACAUCUUAAGGUCUCUGGAAAAAUAUCACGAAAAUACCUUUUUUUUACAUUAUUUUGGAAUUCAAAAAUAAUACGAGCUCUGGGAAACUUUUCGAUAAAGCUAAGUUAUAAAGUUUGACGUGGAGGUUUACAAUUUAUAUUUAUUCUGGAGUAGCGUUUUCAUCUAUAAAAGAAAUUGAAACUUUGCAAAAGUCUACCAAACAGCUGGAAAGUACCGGAUAAGGCGAAAAUAUCAGGCGCUAAAGUGCCGGAGCCUACAAGGAUGGCAAAGCUUUUGGCUCAUUGUGCUACUUGUGCCAUUGCGAUUGCCAUCUUAAAAUUUAUUACCAUGGCAACGGCAACAACAAUGACUACUGGCAAUGCAAAUAAUUCGUUUGGGUAAGGGAGAUUUAUGUAGCUUGUACCCUCGCAAUCCAUUACUACUAUAUUUUUUAGAUUUUCUUCUUUCAGUUAGACAAAAAACUCAAGUAUUAAAUUAAAUGACAGAUGAUUUAUACGAAUAUAAACAAUGUUCAAUUCAUCAAUUGUAUUUAAUUCUACUUUAA